GGUCCCGUAGCACAGUGGUUAGUGCUUUGUACUUAUGGGUAACAAUAUGCAAGGGUCCCGAGUUCAAAUCUCGGCGGGACCA
rfam:Piriformospora indica DSM 11827, WGS project CAFZ01000000 data, contig: PIRI_contig_0131